rnacentral:rRNA from 1 species
GCAGCAGGCGCGCAAAUUACCCACUCCCAGCUCGGGGAGGUAGUGACGAAAAAUAACGAUACGGGACUCAUCCGAGGCCCCGUAAUCGGAAUGAGUACACUCUAAACCCUUUAACGAGGAUCCAUUGGAGGGCAAGUCUGGUGCCAGCAGCCGCGGUAAUUCCAGCUCCAAUAGCGUAUAUUAAAGUUGUUGCGGUUAAAAAGCUCGUAGUCGAAUUUGUGUCUCGCGCCGUCCGGUUCAUCGUCCGCGGUGUCAACUGGCGUGUCGUGAGACGUCCUGCCGGCGGGUCGUUCGCAAGAGCGGCCCAACUGACCCCGCCGCGGUGCUCUUCAUUGAGUGUCGAGGUGGGCCGGCACGUUUACUUUGAACAAACUAAGGUGCUUAAAGCAGGCUGAAAUUUUGCCAGAAUAUUUUAUGCAUGGAAUAAUGAAACAGGACCUCGAUUCUAUUUUGUUGGUUUUCGGAACCUCGAGGUAAUGAUUAACAGGAACGGAUGGGGGCAUUCGUAUUGCGACGUUAGAGGUGAAAUUCUUGGAUCGUCGCAAGACGGACAGAAGCGAAAGCAUUUGCCAAAAACGUUUUCAUUGAUCAAGAACGAAAGUUAGAGGUUCGAAGGCGAUCAGAUACCGCCCUAGUUCUAACCAUAAACUAUGCCAGCUAGCGAUCCGCCGACGUUCCUCCGAUGACUCGGCGGGCAGCUUCCGGGAAACCAAAGCUUUUGGGUUCCGGGGGAAGUAUGGUUGCAAAGCUGAAACUUAAAGGAAUUGACGGAAGGGCACCACCAGGAGUGGAGCCUGCGGCUUAAUUUGACUCAACACGGGAAACCUCACCAGGCCCGGACACCGGAAGGAUUGACAGAUUGAGAGCUCUUUCUUGAUUCGGUGGGUGGUGGUGCAUGGCCGU